UGGGGAAUAUUGGACAAUGGGCGAAAGCCUGAUCCAGCCAUGCCGCGUGUGUGAAGAAGGUCUUCGGAUUGUAAAGCACUUUAAGUUGGGAGGAAGGGUUGUAGAUUAAUACUCUGCAAUUUUGACGUUACCGACAGAAUAAGCACCGGCUAACUCUGUGCCAGCAGCCGCGGUAAUACAGAGGGUGCAAGCGUUAAUCGGAAUUACUGGGCGUAAAGCGCGCGUAGGUGGUUUGUUAAGUUGGAUGUGAAAUCCCCGGGCUCAACCUGGGAACUGCAUUCAAAACUGACUGACUAGAGUAUGGUAGAGGGUGGUGGAAUUUCCUGUGUAGCGGUGAAAUGCGUAGAUAUAGGAAGGAACACCAGUGGCGAAGGCGACCACCUGGACUAAUACUGACACUGAGGUGCGAAAGCGUGGGGAGCAAACAGGAUUAGAUACCCGGGUAGUCCCUGAGCGGGCUGGCAAGGCGCAU
rnacentral:rRNA from 1 species